rnacentral:lncRNA from 1 species
GGGGAUUGAACCCAGGGAUGCUUUACCCCUGAGCUACACCUCCAUCCCUUUUUGUUUUGAGACAGGGUCUUGUUAAAUUGCUCAGGCUGGCCUUGAAUUUUCCAUCCUCUGUUUUAGUCUCCUAAGUAGCUGGGAUUAUAGGUUUACACCACUGAGUCUGGCAAAGAAUGUUCUCAUAAUUCAACGUUUUACUUUUGAGAGGCUUCCACUUCUCCACUCAUCAUCAUUUGAUCAUUCAUCCAUUCAUUGGCACCUACUGGAGCUGUAAACAUGAAACAUCAUAACUUCCAAGCAAUUACCACAUGAGAGUGAAAGUGCUCAUGUGGAGGUCUGUAUAGAAUGAGAAAAAUACUGUUCAGAACAUUCAAUUUGAUGAAAAUCAGAAAGCUUCAUGGACUCCAGAAUUUGAAUUGAGGUGGACAUAGAAGUAUAAUAUUUGCUAAGUGUAUAAACUGUUUGGAGGAAUAACAUGUACAAACAUUGGAGAUGUGAGGGAAAACACUGCAGUGGCUAACAACAAAGAGUUUGGCAUUUUUGGCAAAUAGUGCAAGGUCAGAGGGCAUUGAGUGAUGAAGAUUGAGCCAAAUUGGUGGCAGUAAGAAUUGGAAAGUAAGGAAAAUUAUGACUGGCAAUUUAGGAGGUGAAAUAAGAGGAAAUGGUGAUUCUUUGGAUAUAACGGUGAUAAGUUCAGGUUUAGAGACAUAGUGUUUGAAGGGCCAUUGGAUACAGAAGGAUGUUCACAAAGCCCUUCAACAUACAUGUCUGGAGCUUAGGAGAUUUGUGCAUUAGGAGACAGAGACACAUGAAAUAGCUGAGAACAAUUAAGGAGAGUGUGUAGGGGGUUAACAGAGAAGUUAGCUGAAAAUGAAGUCUCGGAAAAUACUUAAGGUAAG